UCCAAAGCUUCACCAACAGCAUGCAAAAGAUCAGGUACAUACUUGUUUAUUUAAUAUUAUUGUGAUGAAAUUCUCCAGUAUGUUAGUUUCACAAACGGUAAUGUGGAUGUGGACCAUAUAUGGUCGUGUUAUUUUAUGUGCAAUUUAAUGCAGUAUUUUUCAGCCUUGGUCCGCAAGGCAGCGUGCCAAUAGUCAGACACACGUGGAUUAAUCCCUUUGUCCAAUAAUGUAAGACAGGAAAUAAAAGAGCUGUGCUUAAUUCAGGAAAUAGUGAAGUUGUGCACAAAGGUCAGAAAGCACAAGUUUGUUAAAAAAAAUAGCACAGCCCCACCAAAAAUAUUUUUCACCAGCCGCCACUGUUCUCUUAUACUGAUAUAAUAAAUAUUUUCGGUAAGUAUCGUACUUUAUGUUUGCAUUUAGUAAUUUAGCAUACAUUGAGACUUUUGUGACAUUUUUUGCCAUGUUUGUUUUUGUUUUACCACCCGUAUUUUUUUUUUCAGAUGCAUUUUUCACGGAGGCUUUUUAUUGUUUUAUGUUAGAUUCGUUUUUGUAAAUAAUGAAAGAAAUCAGGAAAUCUUCUAGAAAUAGGAAAUGUUCCUCAAGAUCUGUUGAUGAGGAGCAAGAUGUGCCCUCAUCGUUUUUCCGUCACAAACGCAGAAAACAAAACCUCCAUAUACAUCUGUGGUUGAGGAUUCAGGUGCGAGUGAAGAUGAUUUCCCAUCACAGCUGCAAGAUUCUUCUGAUGAGCUAUUCACCAGCAAUGGGCAGUGUCAGAGGAAGGAUCUUGCUG